UAUGAUGUAGCUCAAUGGUACAGCGCUUGUCUACAAUGUGUGAGGCCCUGGGUUUAAAUCUCAGGAUCACAA
rnacentral:tRNA from 1 species